rnacentral:rRNA from 1 species
UACAGAGGUCUCAACCGUUGUUCGGAUUCAUUGGGCGUAAAGGGUGCGUAGGCGGUCGCGCAAGUCGGAUGUGAAAUCUCAGGGCUCAACCCUGAAACUGCAUUCGAUACUGCGUGGCUAGAGUGCUGGAGAGGAGACUGGAAUUUACGGUGUAGCGGUGAAAUGCGUAGAUAUCGUAAGGAAGACCAGUGGCGAAGGCGAGUCUCUGGACAGCAACUGACGCUGAGGCACGAAGGCCAGGGGAGCAAACGGG